rnacentral:lncRNA from 1 species
UGCUGAGGCACGUGGAAGUGAGUGGGCUCCCCUAGCCCCGACCCAGUCAAGACCAAACCAGGUCCCAGCAUAUCUCUGUGCUCCAAGGUACCAUGAAGCUUGGGGGCCAGCAGAAUUUGAAACAGACUCUUUUCCUCAUAAUCUCAGGCCAUGACCACAUACUUUUGGCUUCGUUUCUUUGGCAAGAGUCGUUUUGUGAGCUGGUUCCUAGAUAAUGAGGACCUGUGAGGAGUCCCGGCCCGCCGACAGCCUCAGCACAGGGUCACUGCCACGUGGGACCCAGGCCAGAGACAUCCUGCCUCCUAGGAAUGGAUUCCAGAGGCCCUGGUCACUGACCAGCACACCUGUGGGUGAGACACAAACCCCCUCCUCCCACACGGAGCCAGCACUGUCUUUGCAUUGUAUAUUUUGUAUAAAAAGAGCUCCAAUGUGGGAGCAUUUCCUUUUUUUGUCUAAAAUUGUCCAGAUUGUUAACACCAUCAUUAUCUGGAC